AUUGAACGCUGGCGGCAGGCCUAACACAUGCAAGUCGAGCGGAUGAAGGGAGCUUGCUCCUGGAUUCAGCGGCGGACGGGUGAGUAAUGCCUAGGAAUCUGCCUGGUAGUGGGGGAUAACGUCCGGAAACGGGCGCUAAUACCGCAUACGUCCUGAGGGAGAAAGUGGGGGAUCUUCGGACCUCACGCUAUCAGAUGAGCCUAGGUCGGAUUAGCUAGUUGGUGGGGUAAAGGCCUACCAAGGCGACGAUCCGUAACUGGUCUGAGAGGAUGAUCAGUCACACUGGAACUGAGACACGGUCCAGACUCCUACGGGGGGCAGCAGUGGGGAAUAUUGGACAAUGGGCGAAAGCCUGAUCCAGCCAUGCCGCGUGUGUGAAGAAGGUCUUCGGAUUGUAAAGCACUUUAAGUUGGGAGGAAGGGCAGUAAGUUAAUACCUUGCUGUUUUGACGUUACCGACAGAAUAAGCACCGGCUAACUUCGUG
rnacentral:rRNA from 1 species